ACUAGCGCAGUAUCUGACAUAGAGUAACAGAUGUUUGCUAAAGUGAAGCAAAUUGACUUGGUCCUAGCUUGUGAGUCCAGUGACUAUGAGGAGAUUGGAACAGGAAAGGCUGACUUGAAUUAGUCAGUCUAUGGAUUAGUUCACUGGUAGAUUCAUAAUUUGAUGGCACUAUUGACAGAUAAUAAAAACUAGCAUAUGGGGCCUGAUAAAAGGAAGUCAGUCACCAGGACACAGUUUUGAAUGGUCUAUCUAGUUUGUGGAAUCUUUUUUUUUCUCUCUCUCUCUUUCUUCCAGACCCAAUGGUGCACAGCUCUGCUGCACUAUAUCAUUUACUCAUAUGUAUCGCCUCACCACCAGUCUAUAGCAACAAACCCAGGGAAUCAAGAACUGAAGUAUCUGGAACCAUGAACGAGAUAAACUCUCCUCCUGUAUGCUCUUUAUGAGAAACUGACAUAUGGGACACCAAAAGAACUGAAUAAUGGUACUCAACUUCAUAUGGAAAAGCAAAAAACCCAAUAUAGCCUAAACAAUCCUGUACAAUAAAGAAACUUCUGGAGGCAUCACAAUCCCUGACUUCAAACUCUAUUUCAGAGCUACAGUACUGAAAACAGUCUUGGAUUGGCAUAAAAACAGACAGGGAAGACCAACGGAACUGAAUCGAGGACCCGGAUAUUAAUCCACACACCUACGGACACCUGAUUUUUGA